CAUGCCUGUAGUCCCAGCUACUCAGGGAUGCUGAAGCAGGAGCAUCACUUGAACCCAAGAGGCAGAGGUUGCAGUGAGCCGAGAUAGUGCCAAUGCAUUCCAGCCUGGGGAACAGAGUGAGGCUGCAUGUCAAGAAAAGACAAGACAAGACAAGAAAAGAAAAGAAAAUCUUAUUCUAGAUUCUUGGAUCAUUGUAAACUAAUCACAAACCAUUAGCCAAGACCCACAUACAAUUAUUGUGCUCAUGUCAAAAAAAAUCAUUCUAUUUCUUUGCCUUAGUUUUCCCACCUUCAAAAUGCUCUUGGCUGUCUGGCUGUCUGUAACUUAAGCCUGCUUGCAACCAGUAAGGUUUUAGGUGUAUAGGUGUGUCUCAGAACCAAGAGUAUCUCUGAUUUUUGUUUGAUUUGAUUUUUCUAGAUAUUCAAGAGAUUGAGAUAGGAUCUAGAAUAUCAAAUUAUUGAUUUAUAAUGGAUCAUCAGUGGCCCAAAAGCUCAUGUUCGUCUUUCAAGAUUCCACCUUCCUGGUAAUAGUGGGCCUGGUGGCUGGUAGUCAAAUGACUCUUUGGUGACUGUGAAUCAGAGUAAAGUGAGGUAUGCACUCUCUCAGAUCAAGUAAUAAUAACAAAGUAUGAUAAUAAUCACUAACACUCUUAGAUGUUUACUAUUUGCCAGGUCCUGGGCUGAACACGGUGCAUAAACUCAUUUAAUAUCUAAACUAGUGAUAUUUCCAUCUUACUAAAGAAGAAGCUGAGCCUUCUAGCCAGUGAGUCACUUGUUGAAAGUCACAUGGCACAGGUUGAGCUGUGAUUGAGGCCCACACAGUAGUGAGCAUUAUAAUACCCAGGCCUAUAGUCCUUUGGCUGAUUGGGGCCAGAUGUAGUUCAGAUUUCUGAAUUUUUAAGAUUUGAGAGAAGUAAACAGUUCAUAUACUGUACAUUAAAACACCCCUAGUGGGUACUCUACCUUUUAACGUUCCUACUAGGAAUAUGGGCAGCCUCUCAUGAUUAAACACAUUAAUUAAUAUAUCUGUCAUAAAAGAUAAAAAUACUCACAUUAAGAUAAUAAAGACUAUGUCCUCAUAUUGCAGGUAAACGUUGUUGCCAAAUAGGUCUCAAAAGAGUUUCCAUUUUCAAAGUUUUUUGAGUUUUAGAACUUCACAUAAAGGAUUCCGGACCUGCACUGUUCACUAGGUUUAGUAUCUCUCCCUUCCCGGGGUAGUGCCGACAAUACUGCUGAUUCUUACUCUUACUUUAGGUUUGAUGAGCCAAGCUUCCAGCUCCAGGUUUUCUUGAGUCAGGGUAAAAUACAUUUGGCCUCUAGGGGGAGCUCCAGGCCUCCAGUUUCACUCCACUUCACCACUUCCCCAGACCCCAAUCUACACCCUGGAAAGCAAAGCGCUCCAACCCCAAAGAGGAGCUGUACAACUGGACAUGUCAAGAAGUACUUACAUUGAGCCACCAUACAAAGGCUGUGGUCUCUUUUUCCCAGCAUUUUCUUCUCUGGGAGUGUGUCUUCCCUCUGCACACGUGGUACAGUAGAUGACCAGGAGCUGCUCCUGGCCGUGGCUCAUCCCUCCCUGAGAGAGCAAUGGGAUGGGCAACGUCUACAGAACAGUGUCCCACAGCGCUUAAGAAUAUGCAGGCCGGUCCUCCCUUUCCUUGGCAGGCUUUCCUACCGCCCUUCCUUGCCAUCAGUGUGGUACAAUAGAAAAGUUAGAAGGGCGGUGGCUCACGCCUAUAAUCCCAGCACUUUGGGAGGCUGGGGCGGGCGGAUCACGAGGUCAAGAGAUCGGGGCCAUCCUGGCCAGCAUGCUCAAACCCCAUCUCUACUAAAAAUACAAAAAUUAGCUGUGCGUGGUGGCGGGCGCCUGUGGUCCCAGGUACUCAGGAGGCUGGGGCAGGAGAGUCUCUUGAACCUGGGAGGCGUAGGUUGCAGUGAGCCGAGAUCAGGCCACUGCACUCCAGCCUGGCGACAGAACGAGACUCCGUCUUUAAAAAAAAAAAAAAAACGGAAUUUUUUUUUUUUUAAUGACCUUCCUUAAAGGCAGCAGAGGGAGGUCUCCGUGUCCCAAGCCUCUGCACAGGGUCCCUCAUUGAAACUUGGAAUAAAAGUUCACCGAAGCCAAUGAACAUUUUCUGGUUUUCUGCUAAAUGUCUGUUUUCUCACAUGAGAAAAGUCGCCGUAGAGAGACUGUUCCCUAGAUUCCCGGAAAAACACCGUUCCAUUCCCAUUUAGAAACAACUUAUAAAUACAGUUGUCUAUGUGUGGGCUUUGUUUUGGUUGCAUUUCAAACCUGCUUUCUCUCAUUUACACCUUCAAUUAAGUGCUUUUAUACUUUCUCAGGUUCCCAGUUACGGGAAUUCUCUUGGUUGUGUCUAGAGCUGGCUCAUUGCAUUCAUUAUGUGUUAUAUUUCACCAUUUUAGCUUUCAGAGAUAACUGUGUACCCAGGGUUGGUAUUCAAAACUCUGAGCAACUGAAAAGCCACAGGCACCAACCAAUCAGAACAGAUGCUAGCUAUAAGCAACCAACGCAGCUGUGCCGUGCCAUGCACACAGAUGGAGCCUCAGCCUGGCUGAUGUGAUCUAUAAUGUUUACACUUGGAGUCCAGAGCUGCCCUGUUAAGAAGCUCAACUACCCUGAGGUCACCAUGAUGUCAGGAAGCCAAACUCGAUGGAAAGGCCAUUAAGUGGGUACUGCACUUGACAGCCCAGUGUCAUUCCCAGCAAACAGUCAACACCAACAGUGGGAGAGUUGUCUUGAAUGUCUACACCAGUCUAAUCUUCAGAGGACAGCAGCUCCGUGACAUCUGACUCCAACUGCUUGAGAGAUCUUAUGCCAGAAAUACCCAGCCAAGCUCUUCCCACAUUCCUAGCCCCAAAGAAUUAUUAGCAAAAUAAAACAGUUGUUUUAAAAUGGU
rnacentral:lncRNA from 1 species